AUCAAGCGUGUCCUGGAGAUUCUCCCAUCGAGGAAAGACAGAGAAGGGAAAGUUUAUUAAAACAACUCUGAGGGGAGGGGAGAAAGGAAUUGGAGAACGAGAACUCUCAGGCAAAAACUUUAUCCAAGCUAGAGAGGACUCUUGGAAGCUCUUUUAGCAAACUGGAUUACAAUAAAAUCAGUUUUCUGUGGAUUAAUGUUGCCAUAAUUCAUUGGAUGAACAAUCACAGAAGGAGCUGAAGGAGGGAGUCAUGAGGGUCAUCUGCUCCUCUCUAGUGCUUCUCACCAUCUGCUUGGGUCACGGGGGUCGACUGGCAUCAGCUGAAGGUGUCAGCUGCCCGUCCGUACAGGUAGAAGAAUGGAAGUUUCCUCAAACUGCCAGACACAACAUUACAGGUUAAUACUGCUGCUAAUGGACAUCCCUUAAAGAAACAGCAUCAUUUACUCAC